rnacentral:rRNA from 1 species
CUAUCGGAGAGUUUGAUCCUGGCUCAGGGUGAACGCUGGCGGCGUGCCUAAGACAUGCAAGUCGAACGGGCCUGAUUUCGGUCAGGCUAGUGGCGGACGGGUGAGUAACACGUGGGUGAUCUACCCCAAAGUCUGGGACAACUAGGGGAAACCUUAGCUAAUCCCGGAUGGUGAGGCUUCUCCUGUGAAGUCUCUAAAGAUUUAUCGCUUUGGGAUGAGCCCGCGGCGCAUCAGCUAGUUGGUGGGGUAAUGGCCUACCAAGGCGACGACGCGUAGCUGGUCUGAGAGGACGACCAGCCACAGGAGCACUGAGACACGGGCUCCACUCCUACGGGAGGCAGCAGUUAGGAAUCUUCGUCAAUGGGCGAAAGCCUGAACGAGCGACGCCGCUUGAGGGACGAAGCCCUUCGGGGUGUAAACCUCUGAACAGGGGACGAUGAUGACGGUACCCUGCUAAUAGCACCGGCUAACUCCGUGCCAGCAGCCGCGGUAAUACGGAGGGUGCGAGCGUUACCCGGAUUUACUGGGCGUAAAGGGCGUGUAGGCGGUUUUCUAAGUCCGGGGCUAAAGACCAGGGCUCAACCCUGGGUUUGCCUUGGAUACUGGAAAGCUCGACGGCUGGAGGGGGCAGCGGAAUUUCCGGAGUAGCGGUGAAAUGCGCAGAUACCGGAAGGAACGCCAAUAGCGAAGGCAGCUGCCUGGACAGUACGUGACGCUGAGGCGCGAAAGCGUGGGGAGCAAACCGGAUUAGAUACCCGGGUAGUCCACGCCCUAAACGAUGAGUGC